rnacentral:rRNA from 1 species
GUGGGGAAUAUUGGACAAUGGGGGGAACCCUGAUCCAGCCAUGCCGCGUGUGUGAAGAAGGCCUUUUGGUUGUAAAGCACUUUAAGCGAGGAGGAGGCUACCGAGAUUAAUACUCUUGGAUAGUGGACGUUACUCGCAGAAUAAGCACCGGCUAACUCUGUGCCAGCAGCCGCGGUAAUACAGAGGGUGCAAGCGUUAAUCGGAUUUACUGGGCGUAAAGCGCGCGUAGGUGGCCAAUUAAGUCAAAUGUGAAAUCCCCGAGCUUAACUUGGGAAUUGCAUUCGAUACUGGUUGGCUAGAGUAUGGGAGAGGAUGGUAGAAUUCCAGGUGUAGCGGUGAAAUGCGUAGAGAUCUGGAGGAAUACCGAUGGCGAAGGCAGCCAUCUGGCCUAAUACUGACACUGAGGCACGAAAGCGUGGGGAGCAAACAGGAUUAGAUACCCGGGUAGUCC